rnacentral:lncRNA from 1 species
UUAUUCUUUCCUGUAUCAUCUAUAACACAGCAUUAAAAACAGGUCAGUGAACUUAACUGACUCAUCUUGUAUAGGAUAUCAUUGGUGGAAACUGUUGUCAUUUGAAGAUGGAUAUGGCUUUUGGAACUUACUGAAUAUGAACCAGAGUUAAUCUUGGUGAAAUCUGCAUGGACAGCCUUUUUUGUUUAAAAGUGAACUCAAGGAGUAGAAAUGUUACCCAGUGGAAGAAUGUUUAUCCUAACUUUGAAAAGACAAGAAUGAAAAUGAUUAAUUUACUAAUUAACUAAAAAUAAACAAAUUAAGCUGGAGCUAUCUGAGAAGAAGGAACCAGAGUUGAGAAGAUGCCUCCAGAAGUCUGGCCUCAAGGCAAGCCUGUGGAGCACUUUCUUAGUGAGGGGAUGUGUAAGGGCCAGCCCACUAUGGGCAGUGCAACCUCUGAGCAUCUGCUCCUGGAGUGUUUAUGAAAACAGGCUGAACAAGGAAGAAGCCGGUAAGCAGCACUCUUGAAUUACCUGGGCAUCAGCUCCUGCCUCCAGAAUCCUGUUUUGAGUUCAUGCCCUGACUUUCCUGACUGAUGGACUACAAGGUUGGUUAUGCACCUCUUAAAAUGAAGAUACAAGACACAUGUGAUUCUGAACAAUAUAAUUGUCAUCUAGCUACCAAAUAGUUUAAAGGCAGCUUAGUUCUUUUGGUUAAAAUAUGAAUAAUGCAUAAAAGGAGCCUGUAAAGAGAAGUAACUGGAGGGGAGGAAGGAUGCUGCUCAAUGUAUUUUUUGAUGAAAAUGAGAAAGAAUAACAUGUUUAAAAAACAUGGACAAAUAAAUUGGAUGGUCAUUUACCCCAAACUGACUGAAAAUGUCUGGCUGUUACAUGCUCAGUACACAAGCUACAUGAAAUACAAUCAAACUAAAUGGACCUCUUGGAAUGACUGUUUAAGAUAAGCAUGAGAAUGGUGUCAAGCAAGGUGAGUCUUUGGACACUGUUGAUGGCAAUGUGAAAUGAUACAACCAACAAUUGCAAAUGGGCUGGCAGACCCACAAAACUUAAACAUAAUUCUGCCAUGUGACCUAAGUAUUUUAAUUCUGAGCAUACAUCAAAAAGAACUAAAAUUAAAAUAACAAAACCUUUUUGCUCUCCUAAAUUCAUUAUAGCAGUAUUGAAAUAAUAAAAUGUCAAUAGGCA